rnacentral:rRNA from 1 species
AUUGAACGCUGGCGGCAGGCCUAACACAUGCAAGUCGAGCGAGCGGCGGACGGGUGAGUAAUGUAUGGGGACUGCCCGAUAGAGGGGGAUAACUACUGGAAACGGUAGCUAAUACCGCAUACUAUCGGAUAACCCAUAUGGGAUUAGCUAGUAGGUGAGGUAAUGGCUCACCUGGGCGACGAUCCCUAGCUGGUCUGAGAGGAUGAUCAGCCCCACUGGAGCUGGGACGCGACCCAGACUCCUACGUAGGCAGCAGUGGUGAAUAUUGCACAAUAGGCGAGAGCAUGAUGCAGCCAUGCCGCGUGUAUGAAGAAGGCCCUAGGGUUGUAAAGUACUUUCAGUCGGGAGACGUUACCGACAGAAGAAGCACCGGCUAACUCCGUGCCAGCAGCCGCGGUAAUAC